GGACCCAUCCCAAGCCCAUCUAUAUUGCGGGCCACCACAACACAAACCCAUUUCUGUUGACCAUGGGCUGAUAAUGGCGUUUGUGAUUAGAUUUGUAGUACUUGUGAUUAGAUUUUAAUGAAUUUGGACCCUUAAACUAGUAAGAACGUUAAGAUUUAAAUAGAGAAAGUAUGUGAGGAUCUGUGAGAGCUUGUGUUUAG
rnacentral:lncRNA from 1 species